rnacentral:rRNA from 1 species
ACGCACGCUGGCGGCGUGCUUAACACAUGCAAGUCGCACGGAAAGGCCUCUUUCGGGGGGUACUCGAGUGGCGAACGGGUGAGUAACACGUGAGUAACCUGCCCUUGACUUUGGGAUAACUUCAGGAAACUGGGGCUAAUACCGGAUAGGAGCUCCUGCUGCAUGGUGGGGGUUGGAAAGUUUCGGCGGUUGGGGAUGGACUCGCGGCUUAUCAGCUUGUUGGUGGGGUAGUGGCUUACCAAGGCUUUGACGGGUAGCCGGCCUGAGAGGGUGACCGGCCACAUUGGGACUGAGAUACGGCCCAGACUCCUACGGGAGGCAGCAGUGGGGAAUAUUGCACAAUGGGUGGAAGCCUGAUGCAGCAACGCCGUGUGCGGGAUGACGGCCUUCGGGUUGUAAACCGCUUUCGCUCAUGACGAAGCUUUGUGUGACGGUAGUGGGUAAAGAAGCACCGGCUAACUACGUG